rnacentral:rRNA from 1 species
CCUACGGGAGGCAGCAGUGGGGAAUUUUGGACAAUGGGCGAAAGCCUGAUCCAGCAAUGCCGCGUGAGUGAAGAAGGCCUUCGGGUUGUAAAGCUCUUUUGUCAGGGAAGAAACGGUGAAAGCUAAUAUCUUUUGCUAAUGACGGUACCUGAAGAAUAAGCACCGGCUAACUACGUGCCAACAGCCGCGGUAAUACGUAGGGUGCAAGCGUUAAUCGGAAUUACUGGGCGUAAAGCGUGCGCAGGCGGUUUUGUAAGUCUGAUGUGAAAUCCCCGGGCUCAACCUGGGAAUUGCAUUGGAGACUGCAAGGCUAGAAUCUGGCGGAGGGGGGUAGAAUUCCACGUGUAGCAGUGAAAUGCGUAGAUAUGUGGAGGAACACCGAUGGCGAAGGCAGCCCCCUGGGUCAAGAUUGACGCUCAUGCACGAAAGCGUGGGGAGCAAACAGGAUUAGAUACCCUGGUAGUCCACGCCCUAAACGAUGUCUACUAGUUGUCGGGUCUUAAUUGACUUGGUAACGCAGCUAACGCGUGAAGUAGACCGCCUGGGGAGUACGGUCGCAAGAUUAAAACUUAAAGGAAUUGACGG